CCAAGGGACUUCGCUCUAGUUCUCAAUUGUCCCGGUUUGGAUUCGGGGGUCCCUCCAAGGGACUGCCACCCUCCUCUGUCUAGCCAGCGAAAUCUGAAUUUGCAAGACCUGUCAGUGGUUGGGAGUCUGCCUGCCAAUGCAGGGGACGCGGGCUCGAGCCCUGGUCUGGGAAGAUCCCACAUGACACGGAGCAAGUGGACCCGUGAGCCACAACUGCUGAGCCUGCGCGUCUGGAGCCUGUGCUCCGCAACAAGAGAGGCCGCGAUGGUGAGAGACCCGCGCAUCGCGAUGAAGAGUGGCCCCCGCUUGCCACAACUAGAGAAAGCCCUUGCACAGAAACGAAGAC